rnacentral:rRNA from 1 species
AUUUAACGCUGGCGGCAUGCCUUACACAUGCAAGUCGAACGGCAGCAUGAUCUAGCUUGCUAGAUUGAUGGCGAGUGGCGAACGGGUGAGUAAUACAUCGGAACGUGCCCUGUAGUGGGGGAUAACUAGUCGAAAGAUUAGCUAAUACCGCAUACGACCUGAGGGUGAAAGUGGGGGACCGCAAGGCCUCAUGCUAUAGGAGCGGCCGAUGUCUGAUUAGCUAGUUGGUGGGGUAAAGGCCCACCAAGGCGACGAUCAGUAGCUGGUCUGAGAGGACGAUCAGCCACACUGGGACUGAGACACGGCCCAGACUCCUACGGGAGGCAGCAGUGGGGAAUUUUGGACAAUGGGGGCAACCCUGAUCCAGCAAUGCCGCGUGUGUGAAGAAGGCCUUCGGGUUGUAAAGCACUUUUGUCCGGAAAGAAAUCGCACUUACUAAUAUUAGGUGUGGAUGACGGUACCGGAAGAAUAAGGACCGGCUAACUACGUG